GGGAGCCGCUGUGGUUGUAGUGGGAGCCGCUGUGGUUGUAGUGGGAGCCGCAGUGGUUGUAGUGGGAGCCGCUGUGGUUGUAGUGGGAGCCGCUGUGGUUGUAGUGGGAGCAGCUGUGGUUGUAGUGGGAGGCGCUGUGGUUGUAGUGGGAGCAGCUGUGGUUGUAGUGGGAGAUGCUGUGGUUGUAGUGGGAGCCACUGUGGUUGUAGUGGGAGCCGCUGUGGUUGUUGUGGGAGACGCAGUGGUUGUUGUGGGAGCCGCUGUGGUUGUUGUGGGAGUCGCUGUUGUUGUUGUGGGAGCUUCUGUAGUUGUUGUGAGGUAAGCUGUAGUUGUUGUGGGAGCUUCUGUGGUUGUAGUGGGAGCCACUGUGGUUGUAGUGGGAGCCACUGUGGUUGUAGUGGGGGCGCUGUGGAUGUAGUGGGAGCAGCUGUGGUUGUAGUGGGAGCCACUGUGGUUGUAGUGGGAGGCGCUGUGGUUGUAGUGGGAGCCGCAGUGGUUGUAGUCGGAGCAGCUGUGGUUGUAGUGGGAGCCGCUGUGGUUGUAGUGGGAGACUCUGUGGUUGUUGUGGGAGCCGCUGUGGUUGUUGUGGGAGUCGCUGUGGUUGUUGUGGGAGCCUCCGUGGUUGUUAUGAGGUAAGCUUUGGUUGUUGUGGGAGCCACUGUGGUUGUAGUGGGAGACUCUGUGGUUGUUGUGGGAGCCGCUGUGGUUGUAGUGGGAGCAGCUGUACUUGUAGUGGGAGAUGCUGUGGUUGUAGUGGGAGCCGCUGUGGUUGUAGUGGGAGCCGCUGUGGUUGUAGUGGGAGCCGCUGUGGUUGUAGUGGGAGCCACUGUGGUUGUAGUGGGAGACGCAGUGGUUGUAGUGGGAGCCGCUGUGGUUGUAGUGGGAGCCGCUGUGGUUGUAGUGGGAGCCGCUGUGGUUGUAGUGGGAGCCACAGUGGUUGUAGUGGGAGACGCUGUGGUUGAAGUGGGAGCGGCUGUGGUUGUAGUGGGAG
ensembl:lncRNA